rnacentral:rRNA from 1 species
AUUGAACGCUGGCGGCAGGCCUAACACAUGCAAGUCGAGCGGAGCGGCGGACGGGUGAGUAAUGCCUAGGAAUCUGCCUGGUCGUGGGGGAUAACGUCCGGAAACGGACGCUAAUACCGCAUCCUAUCAGAUGAGCCUAGGUCGGAUUAGCUUGAUGUUGGGGUAAAGGCCUAACAAGGCGACGAUCCGUAACUGGUCUGAGAGGAUGACCAGCCACACUGGAACGGAGACACGGCCCAGACUCCUACGGGAGGCAGCAGUGGGGAAUAUUGCACAAUGGGCGAAAGCCUGAUCCAGCCAUGCCGCGUGUGUGAAGAAGGGCGUCGGAUUGUAAAGCACUUUAAGUUGAGAGGCGUUACCAACAGAAUAAGCACCGGCUAACUUCGUGCCAGCAGCCGCGGUAAUUC